rnacentral:rRNA from 1 species
ACGCUGGCGGCGUGCUUAACACAUGCAAGUCGAACGAUGAAGCCUAGCUUGCUAGGUGGAUUAGUGGCGAACGGGUGAGUAAUACGUGAGUAACCUACCUUUAACUCUGGGAUAAGCCUGGGAAACUGGGUCUAAUACCGGAUACGACCAAUCUCCGCAUGGGGUGUUGGUGGAAAGCGUUAUGUAGUGGUUAUAGAUGGGCUCACGGCCUAUCAGCUUGUUGGUGAGGUAACGGCUCACCAAGGCGACGACGGGUAGCCGGCCUGAGAGGGUGACCGGCCACACUGGGACUGAGACACGGCCCAGACUCCUACGGGAGGCAGCAGUGGGGAAUAUUGCACAAUGGGCGCAAGCCUGAUGCAGCGACGCCGCGUGAGGGAUGACGGCCUUCGGGUUGUAAACCUCUGUUAGCAGGGAAGAAGAGAGAUUGACGGUACCUGCAGAGAAAGCGCCGGCUAACUACGUGCCAGCAGCCGCGGUAAUACGUAGGGCGCGAGCGUUGUCCGGAAUUAUUGGGCGUAAAGAGCUUGUAGGCGGUUUGUCGCGUCUGCUGUGAAGGCCGGGGCUUAACCCCGUGUAUUGCAGUGGGUACGGGCAGACUAGAGUGCAGUAGGGGAGACUGGAAUUCCUGGUGUAGCGGUGGAAUGCGCAGAUAUCAGGAGGAACACCGAUGGCGAAGGCAGGUCUCUGGGCUGUAACUGACGCUGAGAAGCGAAAGCAUGGGGAGCGAACAGGAUUAGAUACCCUGGUAGUCCAUGCCGCAAACGUUGGGCACUAGGUGUGGGGGACAUUCCACGUUUUCCGCGCCGUAGCUAACGCAUUAAGUGCCCCGCCUGGGGAGUACGGCCGCAAGGCUAAAACUCAAAGAAAUUGACGGGGGCCCGCACAAGCGGCGGAGCAUGCGGAUUAAUUCGAUGCAACGCGAAGAACCUUACCAAGGCUUGACAUAUACUGGACCGCAUCAGAGAUGGUGUUUCCCUUCGGGGCUGGUAUACAGGUGGUGCAUGGUUGUCGUCAGCUCGUGUCGUGAGAUGUUGGGUUAAGUCCCGCAACGAGCGCAACCCUCGUUCUAUGUUGCCGGCACGUUAUGGUGGGGACUCAUAGGAGACUGCCGGGGUCAACUCGGAGGAAGGUGGGGAUGACGUCAAAUCAUCAUGCCCCUUAUGUCUUGGGCUUCACGCAUGCUACAAUGGCCGGUACAGAGGGUUGCGAUCCCGCAAGGGCUAGCUAAUCUUUCAAAGCCAUUCUCAGUUCGGAUUGCACUCUGCAACUCGAGUGCAUGAAGUCGGAAUCGCUAGUAAUCGCGAAUCAGAAUGUCGCGGUGAAUCCGUUCCCGGGCCU